rnacentral:rRNA from 1 species
UACGGAGGGUGCAAGCGUUAUCCGGAUUCACUGGGUUUAAAGCGUGCGCAGGCGGUUCGUGAUGUCUGGUGUGAAAGCCCCGGGCUCAACCUGGGAAUGGCAUUUGGGACUGCAAGGCUGGAGUUUGGCAGAGGAGACUGGAAUUCCCGGUGUAGCAGUGAAAUGCGUAGAUAUCGGGAGGAAUACCGAUGGCGAAGGCAGGUCUCUGGGCUGACACUGACGCUCAUGCACGAAAGCGUGGGGAGCAAUCAGG